rnacentral:rRNA from 1 species
GUAGGUGGCAAGCGUUGUCCGGAAUUAUUGGGCGUAAAGCGCGCGCAGGCGGUUCUUUAAGUCUGAUGUGAAAGCCCACGGCUCAACCGUGGAGGGUCAUGGAAACUGGAGAACUUGAGUACAGAAGAGGAAAGCGGAAUUCCACGUGUAGCGGUGAAAUGCGUAGAGAUGUGGAGGAACACCAGUGGCGAAGGCGGCUUUCUGGUCUGUAACUGACGCUGAGGCGCGAAAGCGUGGGGAGCAAACAGGAUUAGAUACCCUGGUAGUCCACGCCGUAAACGAUGAGUGCUAAGUGUUAGGGGGUUUCCGCCCCCCUUAGUGCUGCAGCUAACGCAUUAAGCACUCCGCCUGGGAGUACGGCCGCAAGGCUG